rnacentral:rRNA from 1 species
AACAACUCACCUGCCGAAUGAAUCUGCUCUAAAAAUGGAUGGCGCUUAAGUGAUUGACCGAUACCACGCCAUUUGUGAUAGUUGAAGCAAAUGAGUAGGAAGAACGUGGUGGCUGUAUUGAAGUGCUCAGGCGACUGGGUGUGGAACGGCCACUAUUGCAGAUCUUGGUGCUAGUAGCAAGUAUUCAAAUGAAAACCUUGAAGGGUGAAGCGGGGAAGGGUUCCACACGAACAUUGAUUGAGUGUGGGGAAGCCGUACCUAAGUGAAACAGCAAUGGUGAAUAUGAUUUGCGAAAGGGAAGCAGGUUGAAAUUCCUGCGCUCGGAUGUGGACGCGGUGACGCAUGUUUUGUGGCGAUGACGCUGUUAGAGACACUGGGCAGAGAUAUCUUUUCUGUUUAACCGUAAUUUGUGUUCUGUGGAAUCUGCUUGUCAGGAGAAACAGACACAUCUGGGCAGAGCGCCGAGCUUUUUUUGGCGUCCAGUUUGUCUUUAGCGGACCUUGAAAAGUCGUUCACAGGGCGAGGUGAAGAUUUAUUUUUUUCUAUCUUGUCAAAAAAACAAUCCACGCCGGGACGUACCGAUAUCCGCAUCAGGUCCCCAAGGUGAACAGCCUCUGUCCRAUAUGAAAAAU